rnacentral:rRNA from 1 species
CCUACGGGCGGCAGCAGUGGGGAAUAUUGGACAAUGGGCGAAAGCCUGAUCCAGCCAUGCCGCGUGUGUGAAGAAGGCCUUCGGGUUGUAAAGCACUUUCAGUGGGGAAGAAAGCCUUGGGGCUAAUACCCUCGAGGAAGGACAUCACCCACAGAAGAAGCACCGGCUAACUCCGUGCCAGCAGCCGCGGUAAUACGGAGGGUGCGAGCGUUAAUCGGAAUUACUGGGCGUAAAGCGCGCGUAGGCGGUCUGAUAAGCCGGUUGUGAAAGCCCCGGGCUCAACCUGGGAACGGCAUCCGGAACUGUCAGUCUAGAGUGCAGGAGAGGAAGGUAGAAUUCCCGGUGUAGCGGUGAAAUGCGUAGAGAUCGGGAGGAAUACCAGUGGCGAAGGCGGCCUUCUGGACUGACACUGACGCUGAGGUGCGAAAGCGUGGGUAGCAAACAGGAUUAGAUACCCGUGUAGUC